GAUGAACGCUGGCGGCGUGCCUAAUACAUGCAAGUCGAGCGAAUGGAUUAAGAGCUUGCUCUUAUGAAGUUAGCGGCGGACGGGUGAGUAACACGUGGGUAACCUGCCCAUAAGACUGGGAUAACUCCGGGAAACCGGGGCUAAUACCGGAUAACAUUUUGAACCGCAUGGUUCGAAAUUGAAAGGCGGCUUCGGCUGUCACUUAUGGAUGGACCCGCGUCGCAUUAGCUAGUUGGUGAGGUAACGGCUCACCAAGGCAACGAUGCGUAGCCGCCCUGAGGGAGUGAUCGGCCACACUGGGACUGAGACACGGCCCAGACUCCUACGGGAGGCAGCAGUAGGGAAUCUUCCGCGAUGGACGAAAGUCUGACGGAGCAACGCCGCGUGAGUGAUGAAGGCUUUCGGGUCGUAAAACUCUGUUGUUAGGGAAGAACAAGUGCUAGUUGAAUAAGCUGGCACCUUGACGGUACCUAACCAGAAAGCCACGGCUAACUACGUGCCAGCCGCCGCCGUAA
rnacentral:rRNA from 1 species